rnacentral:rRNA from 1 species
UACGAAGGGUGCAAACGUUGCUCGGAAUUAUUGGGCGUAAAGCGCACGUAGGCGGCUUAGCAAGUCCCAUGUGAAAUCCCACGGCUUAACCGUGGAAGUGCAUGGGAAACUGCUGAGCUUGAGUACUUAAGAGGAUCGCGGAAUUCCCGGUGUAGAGGUGAAAUGCGUAGAUAUCAAGUGGAACACCAGUGGCGAAGGCGAGUCUCUGGACAUUUCCUGACGCUGAGGCACGAAGGUCAGGGGAGCAAACGGG